GUCGACGAGUUCUCGUUGAUGAUCGGUGCUUGCACCGAGAUUCAACAUGGAACGAGUGGCGGACGGGUGAGUAACACGUGGGUAACCUGCCCUUAAGUGGGGGAUAACAUUUGGAAACAGAUGCUAAUACCGCAUAGAUCCAAGAACCGCAUGGUUCUUGGCUGAAAGAUGGCGUAAGCUAUCGCUUUUGGAUGGACCCGCGGCGUAUUAGCUAGUUGGUGAGGUAAUGGCUCACCAAGGCGAUGAUACGUAGCCGAACUGAGAGGUUGAUCGGCCACAUUGGGACUGAGACACGGCCCAAACUCCUACGGGAGGCAGCAGUAGGGAAUCUUCCACAAUGGACGCAAGUCUGAUGGAGCAACGCCGCGUGAGUGAAGAAGGCUUUCGGGUCGUAAAACUCUGUUGUUGGAGAAGAAUGGUCGGCAGAGUAACUGUUGCCGGCGUGACGGUAUCCAACCAGAAAGCCACGGCUAACUACGUGCCAGCAGCCGCGGUAACACGUAGGUGGCAAGCGUUAUCCGGAUUUAUUGGGCGUAAAGCGAGCGCAGGCGGUUUUUUAAGUCUGAUGUGAAAGCCCUCGGCUUAACCGAGGAAGCGCAUCGGAAACUGGGAAACUUGAGUGCAGAAGAGGACAGUGGAACUCCAUGUGUAGCGGUGAAAUGCGUAGAUAUAUGGAAGAACACCAGUGGCGAAGGCGGCUGUCUGGUCUGUAACUGACGCUGAGGCUCGAAAGCAUGGGUAGCGAACAGGAUUAGAUACCCUGGUAGUCCAUGCCGUAAACGAUGAAUGCUAGGUGUUGGAGGGUUUCCGCCCUUCAGUGCCGCAGCUAACGCAUUAAGCAUUCCGCCUGGGGAGUACGACCGNCAGGUUGAAACUCAAAGGAAUUGACGGGGGCCCGCACAAGCG
rnacentral:rRNA from 1 species